GAUGAACGCUGGCGGCGUGCCUAAUACAUGCAAGUCGAGCGAACGGACGAGAAGCUUGCUUCUCUGAUGUUAGCGGCGGACGGGUGAGUAACACGUGGAUAACCUACCUAUAAGACUGGGAUAACUUCGGGAAACCGGAGCUAAUACCGGAUGAUAUUUUGAACCGCAUGGUUCAAAAGUGAAAGACGGUCUUGCUGUCACUUAUAGAUGGAUCCGCGCUGCAUUAGCUAGUUGGUAAGGUAACGGCUUACCAAGGCAACGAUGCAUAGCCGACCUGAGAGGGGGAGAGGCCAGAAUGGAACUGAGACACGGGCCAGACGCAUGCGGGAGGCAGCAGUGGGGAAUGUUCCGCAAUGGGCGAAAGCCUGAAGGAGCAACGCCGCGUGAGUGAUGAUGGUCUUCGGAUCGUAAAACUCUGUUAUUAGGGAAGAACAUAUGUGUAAGUAACUGUGCACAUCUUGACGGUACCUAAUCAGAAAGCCACGGCUAACUACGUG
rnacentral:rRNA from 1 species